rnacentral:rRNA from 1 species
UAGAGUUUGAUCCUGGCUCAGAUUGAACGCUGGCGGCAUGCCUAACACAUGCAAGUCGAACGGAAACGAUGCUAGCUUGCUAGCAGGCGUCGAGUGGCGCGAACGGGUGAGUAAUAUAUAGCUAACCUUCCCCUUAGAGAGGGACAACAGUUGGAAACGACUGCUAAUACCUCAUACUCCUUUCUACCAUAAGGUAGAUUGGAAACGCUCCGGCGCUAAGGGAUGGUGCUUUACGGUAUCAGUUAGUUGGUGGGGUAAAAGCCUACCAAGCCUAUGACGCCUAGCUGGUCUGAGAGGAUGAUCAGCCACACUGGAACUGAGACACGGUCCAGACUCCUACGGGAGGCAGCAGUGGGGAAUAUUGCACAAUGGAGGAAACUCUGAUGCAGCAACGCCGCGUGGAGGAUGACGCAUUUCGGUGUGUAAACUCCUUUUAUAUCCCAAGAUAAUGACGGUAGGAUAUGAAUAAGCACCGGCUAACUCCGUGCCAGCAGCCGCGGUAAUACGGAGGGUGCAAGCGUUAAUCGGAAUUACUGGGCGUAAAGGGCGCGUAGGCGGUCUUGUAAGUUGGAUGUGAAAGCCUACGGCUCAACCGUAGAACUGCAUCCAAAACUAUCAGGCUAGAGUGUGGGAGAGGAAGAUGGAAUUAGUUGUGUAGGGGUAAAAUCCGUAGAGAUAACUAGGAAUACCAAAAGCGAAGGCAAUUUUCUGGAACAGUACUGACGCUGAGAUGCGAAAGCGUGGGGAGCAAACAGGAUUAGAUACCCUGGUAGUCCACGCAGUAAACGAUGAAUGUUAGUCGUUGGGGUCCUAGUGACUUCAGUGAUGCAGCUAACGCAUUAAACAUUCCGCCUGGGGAGUACGGUCGCAAGAUUAAAACUCAAAGGAAUAGACGGGGACCCGCACAAGUGGUGGAGCAUGUGGUUUAAUUCGAAAAUACGCGAAGAACCUUACCAAGCCUUGACAUUGAUUGAAUCUGGUAGAGAUACCGGAGUGCUAGUUUACUAGAACAUGAAAACAGGUGCUGCACGGCUGUCGUCAGCUCGUGUCGUGAGAUGUUGGGUUAAGUCCCGCAACGAGCGCAACCCUCGUCGUUAGUUGCUAACAGUUCGGCUGAGCACUCUAGCGAGACUGCCUUCGCAAGGAGGAGGAAGGUGAGGACGACGUCAAGUCAUCAUGGCCCUUAUGGCUUGGGCUACACACGUGCUACAAUGGGGCGUACAGAGAGUUGCGAUACCGCGAGGUGGAGCCAAUCAAUAAACCUAAUCUCAGUUCGGAUUGGAGUCUGCAACUCGACUCCAUGAAGCUGGAAUCACUAGUAAUCGUAGAUCAGCAAUGCUACGGUGAAUACGUUCCCGGGUCUUGUACUCACCGCCCGUCACACCAUGGGAGUUGAUUUCGCUCGAAGCCGGAAUGCUAAAUUAGUUACCGUCCACAGUGGGCCCAGCGACUGGGGUGAAGUCGUAACAAGGUAACCA